rnacentral:rRNA from 1 species
AUAAUAAACGAAGUGGCAUCACUUUGUUUUGAAAGCUCCGGCGGUAAAGGAUGGCCAUGGCGCACGAUUAGCUAGUAGGUGAGGGUAACGGCUCACCUAGGCUACGAUCCGUUAGGGGGCCCUGAGAGGGUUAUCCCCCACACUGGUACUGAGACACGGACCAGACUCCUACGGGAGGCAGCAGUGAGGAAUAUUGCGCAAUGGAGGGCAACUCUGACGCAGCCAUGCCGCGUGCAGGAAGAAGGCGCUACGCGUUGUAAACUGCUUUUAACCGGGAAGAAACCCUCCGACGUGUCGGAGGUUGACGGUACCGGAGGAAUAAGCACCGGCUAACUUCGUG